rnacentral:lncRNA from 10 species
ACAGGGUCUCCCUCUGUUGCCCAGGCUGGAGGACAGUGGUAUAAUCAUAGCUAACUGCAGCUUUGAACUCCUGAGAACAGCAAUCCUCCUUCCUCGGUCUUCCGCAGCAUUGGGAUUACAGGUCCUGAAGAAAAUGAAGUUGAUGUUUCAGUGAGACACCUGUAUGCCAGAGAGUAAAAGGGAUUAUUGUGGAUUCCUGAGAAUUUUCUACAUAUGAAAUCAUGUCAUCUAUGAACAGAGAUGGGACUGUCUCGUUGGAGGAAAACAAGCUCAGGGCUCCCACUGAUUCCACAUUAUGUUGCAAGCUCCUACGAAGCUCCCACUCAAAAAGAAAAAAAAAACAAAACCUGAAAUCUGAAAUAGAAAUUAUCAGCCCGAGAAUGAGAUGUCCCUAAUGCAUAAAGAGUUCUGCUAAGGAAAUGAAGCAUGUUCUUCAAGCAAGAAAGAAACUCUUUUCUGGAUUACAGUUAUUCUGACAGCCACAGGCCUCACAGAACUAGCAUAGCCAAGAUUUACACUUCAAAGAAGCAACUAAGGAAGGUAAUGGAGGAAGGAAGAACAUCUCAAAGGACAGAUGUCAAUAUACUUGAAAGAAAUGCUGACAGAGAAGAACCAGGCUCAAUCAACAAACAUUAUCACCUCCAGAGGGACCUACCUGGUAAAACUCAGUGGGAUUUCAGAAUUCCUAUUGGCCACCCACUGCUCUUUGCCUCACAUUUCUUACUUUUCUGAAUGUGUGUACAUUGUGUUUAUCCGCUCCUAUUUCAGCAUUUUACACGUUGUGUGUGGAGGGCAAAUCACAUUUGUAUUUAGCUCAUAGACCACCAGAUGAAGAGAAGCAUCAUGUGCAAUCUUAUAUAAAUCAUUGGAUCCUGAAUUUCAAUCCUGAUUGUCAUUAAAUGUCUUUUGGAUAUCCUAGUAUCUCUGUUACAUUAUUUCCCACACAAAGGUAUAUAAAUUAAUGCAUCCAAGAGGGCAGACUGUGGUUAAUUGCCCUGUUGAUUUCAGCAUAUCACCCUUCCCUUUAUCCACACCCCAUGUCAUGUUAUUGGCUGUUCUUUCUAGUAAGAGGUUGAGUCUGUUUUCUCAUCUGUGGAAUUCGGGAGUACCAUUUGAUUUGUUUAGGAUAAUCAAUUAAGCAGAGUGAUGAUGUGUCUAUUCCAGUACUGGGGCUUAAGAUGUCUUGUGAGUUAUUAUUUGCCCUCCUGCACUUUUGCCACUGCCUGAGAAGGACAUUUAUGAACUAGCCUGCUGGACUCAGGAAAAGGAUGAAACAUGAACAAGAAGGAGGUACAAAGCUGAAUCAUCCCAAGGCUAGAUGUAACCAAAUUCCGCAUUCUAUCCACCCACAGAUGCUAAAGUGAUUCAGCCAUGCAUAUUAGAGCUGCA